rnacentral:tRNA from 1 species
GGCUUCAUAGUACAACGGAUUAGUACGUAGGUUUCCGGAGCCUGAGAUUUGGGUUCGAUUCCCAGUGAGGCCA